rnacentral:lncRNA from 7 species
GAUGCCAUAACUGUUCAUACUCCUUCCCAACUCCUGACAGUACUAAUGAGGUACUUGGAAGAGAGGUGCUGCUUCACUCUGGAGCCAAGACCCCAGCCAUCUAACCGGGAGAUGGAAAACUGCAAACUGUUAUGAAAUGUCUACAAUGAAUAUGUAUAGUCAUUUUUUAGGUAUGUGUUGAAUCAUGUGAAAAAGAUGGUUAACGUACUAUUUCUGAAAAUAAAAAGUCAUAUAUCACCUUAAGUCAUAUAUGAGAACAUCUCAGAUUAGGGCAGUGUUACUUUCCAGUUUCAUCAGGUUAUGUAACUCAACUUUCAGCAGCCAUCAGUUGUGUGUUGAGUUGUGAACAUUAAGUAAUAAUAGGUACUCUUCUAGAAGACUGUAAUUUUUUUUUGCCUCUCGAGGGAGUGUUUAUAGAUCAACACAUCACUACCCAAAAUCAUGAUAGCUUAAAGAAUGAACUGUUAUGAGGACUUUAUGACGAAGUCCCAGGAAGAGCUUAGCUGUUACAAGAACUGAGCUUGGAGAAGCAAAGCUUUGCAAUACUUUAAAUACUGAUCAUAACUCUACAACAUAACAAACCAUUUAUGAUAAGCCUCACCAGUUACUCAGCUUCAAAAAGCAAAACAUUAGAGAUUUCUCAAAGAUGUAAAGAGUGACUCUGUGAGAUGCCUUCAUCUGUGUCCUCUGCCUCUGAAUGUCUCUGCAAUGCCAGCUUAACAACAUGUGUCCAUGCUUUUGGCUGAUGGGCAAAUGACAAAAAGCUUUGACUUCAUCCAGAGACAUUUUAACUUUUUCUGAAUGUGGUCUAUUAAGAGGAUUUUGCUUAAAGUGGAGAACUGCACCAAUGUUUGUGUAACUGCUCUAAAGUCUUGCUUGCUGCCAACCUAUAGGAAACCAAGCUUCCUACUGGGUGUGGGUUUUCCUCUCCAUUUAUCCUAUGGAGCUUAACUUGAGGACUACAAUUGGUCAUGAGUCUUUUCUUACCUUUCUGUUCAAUUCUGUUAACAUAUCCCCUUUGGAUUUUGGUCAUGUGUUGCUGUAUAUGAUUUUCGUUUUAUCAAAUGUUUCCCUGACUGCAUUCAUUCUUGUCUUCAUUCUGUGUCCCUUUUGGUUUAUAAACAGUUUUUCAAAAGAAAAAAUGAUGAAUGUAUAAUGGUAAAAUGCUCCAGAAUUGAGACAACCUCUUUUCAUUGUGGUGUCUUCAUACCUGACAUUUAUGAUCACUUUUAUGUGCCUGUUUUACUACAAUCAUGAGUAGUAAUGGUCCAAACUUAGUCCUGAACAAUUAUUUUCAUCAAUCUGACUGCUAAUAAAGCCUGCAAUUACUGUGUCUCUAAAAUCAGUACCUGAUAUUAUGAAAUAAUGCAUUAAAUGUGAAACAGCUCAAACUUAAUAACAAUUAGAUUUAUUUGUAUCUGGACUUGUUUCAAUUUAGUAAUCUCAACUUGUGGUCAUUAGGAACACCUUCAGUGUCAAGUGUGGUAUUUCCAUUUACUGUAUCUAAAAAAUAUAUUAGCAGUUGUGUAUGUAUAUGGAAAACAUGUAACAUCUUAAUCUAAUGGAAGAUGUACUGUAAUGGAACAUUAUUAGUGAAUCCAAUUGGUUGCUGCAUGGAUUUCCACUUCCAGCCUUUGGGUUAAGGGCUCCUUCUUCCUGUGCUGGUUGGGUGGUGGGGCUCAGUUGGAGACCUUGGGCUUUAUAUGAGUGUGAAUGAUAUGUACAUCUUCCAAUUUGUAUUUAACUCUAUGGAAGAGGAAAAUCUUUUAGCACAAGAGAGGAGCACAUUAGACAACUCAGCAAUGUUAGAUAAAUGAGUGGUACAGUCUUUGUGUAUGUAUUCUGUGCUGCUUUUCCACCUGGAAAAUAAUAUAGUAGAAUUGAAGUGUAUCUGUGUAUGUAAAAAAAAAAUAAUCAAUGAAAAUAGCCAGUUUAGGACUGAUUACUUUUAAGAAGAGGGGAAAGAAAUAAUAAAAUGACAAAUGACGUGAUGAAAGAAAGUAGGAGCUUCAUUUCUUCUGCUCUCACAAUGUGCAAAAUAUUGAAAGUCUAUUAGAUGAAAAGCAGGAUAUUCCAGCACGAUAAAAGCAUAAGCAUUUCCAUACAGUAUGCAACUAGAGUGGAGAACCAUUAGCACAGGAAAUUAAGGCCAAAGCCCCUGUUGAAGCAAUCAGAACAGGUACAUAGCCAUCAGGAGAAUGAUGAUAACAUUUUAGAGAAGGAUAUUAAUUUUAUUCUAGCAGAACACUAGACAUCAGUGGUAUCUAAUAAGAUUUCCACGCUAUUCCUGUUGCAAAUUUCUUUGCUUACGCAGUCUGAUCCCUCCAGAAUCUGAAGUUCCAUGUUGUGAAGGUAUUCUGUAAUAGGUUAUUUGGGAAUUACUGCUCAUGUAAAUGCCUCUCAUUGUUGCUGAUUUGUAGUACAACCAGUUACAUUUCACGGAGUUUCUAAUUCACCAGCAUUCUACUGAGAGUGUUCUGCUGCUCUUCAACCUGAAUGCUAUGAAGAUGAGGCUGUUCUGCAGUAGGGGGACUCUUCUGUUCAGAUUUACAGAUCAGCUGAUGUUCUCUAAGACUUACACUCAAGGCUGUACAUAAAUGAACUUGAAGAUUUUUCUGAAUAUCCAGAGAUACCUAUUGUAUUUUUCCCACUUGGUCCUUGUUGUGUUUAUAAAUGUGUCAGAAGGAUGAUAGCUUGCUUUCUGUAUGCUCUGCACUGAAAAUCAUGAGGUAGAACAUGCACAGGUUUUGCUGUUAAUGCUGUUCUAGUUCCUAGAAGUUGUGAAACACUGCUAAAGAUAAAUAAAUGAGGAUGUACCUCUU